rnacentral:rRNA from 1 species
GAUCAUGGCUCAGGAUGAACGCUGACAGAAUGCUUAACACAUGCAAGUCUUUGGCGAAGCUGUGCUUGCACAGCCUAGCCAAGGCGGACGGGUGAGUAACGCGUAAGGAACUUGCCCUGCAGUCAGGGAUAACAGACGGAAACGACUGAUAAGACCUGGUAAAGUCAGGCGGACUCAUGUCCAGCCUGAUGAAAAGGGAUGCUGCAGGAGAGCCUUGCG